UCCGGUUUGUCACCGGCAGUCUGGCGCGAGUCCCCAACUUAAUGAUGGCAACACGCCACGGGGGUUGCGCUCGUUGCGGGACUUAACCCAACAUCUCACGGCACGAGCUGACGACAGCCAUGCAGCACCUUGCUUUGUGCCCCGAAGGGAAGCGCCAUCUCUGGCGCGGUCACGCGCAUUCUAGCCUAGGUAAGGUUCCUCGCGUAUCAUCGAAUUAAUCCGCAUGCUCCGCCGCUUGUGCGGGCCCCCGUCAAUUCCUUUGAGUUUUAACCUUGCGGCCGUACUCCCCAGGCGGGGCACUUAAUGCGUUAGCUGCGGCACGGGAGGAGUCGACACCUCCCACACCUAGUGCCCAUCGUUUACGGCGUGGACUAC
rnacentral:misc_RNA from 1 species